CCCUCCCUCCCCCAGAGGUUUCCCCCAGUUUGGGGUAGGACUGGCUGUUCUCAGUGCUCUGAGCCUGUGGUUUAUCUGCUGUGGCCUCCUUAGGAUUUGACUUCUGAACCUGAUACCUCGCUGUUGAAUGAACAGACAGAUGAGACGGACAGAAUCAAGCUCCUCUCUGGGGCCACGGCUUCACCAGGACAAGCCUUGGAGGAAAGACCUCUUAUUCCUUUUCGUUAUUCAAUAUCGCUAGCUCCCCAGCCACCUCCAACCCUGUCUAGCUUGAAUUCCACCCAGUGUCGAUGUCCACCCAGCCUGGAAGGCAUGUGAUCUCAGCAGCCUGCUUUUGACUUCUGGUGACAGCUGUAACCUCAGUCUUCCUCAAUUACUAAGACUCCUGAUAAUGCUGACCGAGUUGGAAGCCUGUGGGGACUGGAUAUGUUUCCUGGGCGAGGCUAUGGAUAGCCCUGAAAUAUGAUGAACUCAAAGAAGUUGGUGAUUCUCCUCAGCCUGUGUCCAGGCCCACAGGAGCCCACUGGAAAGAUGGACUAGGGACCGGGGAUGGAGUUCAAUUGGAGAGCAUCUGACCAGGAUGCCCGAGCUCUGCUUUCUAUCCCCUGCACCCCAUAAACCAGGCGUACCAGCACUUGCCUACAAUCCUAACACUUGGGAGGUCGAUGCAGGAGGAUCAGAAAAGGUGAUCCUCAGCCUCCGAGUGAGUCAAGGCUAGACUAUUUACAGGAGACCCUGUCUCAAAAGUAAACAAACAGAAAUAAAAAUAGAGAAGUAGACUGAUCUAAAAUUUAAAAAAAAAAUCUGCUGAGUGUGUGUGUGGGGGGGUACAAGUUUAAUCUGGCAUUGGGCACACAAGGCAGGAAGAUCAGACUUUCAAGGCUAGCCUUGGCUACAUGAGACUGUGUCUCAAAUAAGCAAAUAAAAUUCAAAAGAAAUUCAAUGAUACAAGAUGGCUUAAAAUCGUCCUCCCAGGCCCACGGAGGAGGAGCGGUCAAAUCAUCCGCCGGCAGUGUCAGAAGCCCAGCAGGGAUGAGAGGAUCCAUCUCCCAUCUUGUGACUCCUGUGCCUUCUCCCUCUCUCCACUUGGAGACAAGGUCUCACUUGUAUCUCAGCUUGGCCUGGAAUUCUCUACGUAGCCCAGGUUUUCCUUGGAUUUGCAGUAGUCUGAGCCUGGGGCUUCCUGAGUGCGGGGCUUCCUGAGUGCGGGGCUUCCUGAGGCGGGGCUUACGGGCACAGCCAGCACCAGUUCAUACUGCACAGUGCUUGUUUGUAGUUUGCUCAUUUGGAGAAGAUUGACUGGAGGAAGCGGAGGAAAGCAGUCAUCCAGCUACCUCAUUACAGAAAUGCCACCAAUUGAGGCGACAAGACUCUCCAUGCAACGUGGUGUCCCGAAUUGAAUCUUGAAACAGAAAAAAAAAAGACCCCCAACGGGAAGAUGGAGGAGCCAGCUCAAGCCAGCCAUUUGGUUAACAGCGCUGCACUAGGGCAGACAACGUCCUCGUUUGGAUCCGUGUCAUUUAUUAUUCUGUGGGAUCCUGACAUCAACCACUGCAGUACGGGAGCUUCAUGUGCUUUUCACAGAUGAUGAGAUGGGGCCGUCACACCCCAGUUUCUCACAACCGUGAUGAACAGGACCAGCAGGAUUAUGUGAGACACAGGAUGUGAAGUCCCUCUGGGACCCCGUGGGACCUUGGGCAAAUGUCUCCAGUUCUCUGACCACGCCCCUCAUCUGUAAAGAACAGGGGUAACCAUUAGGACCAUACAGAGCGACAGAGCCAGACUACACUGAAGCUCUGCUGCUUCCAAAUGGCCUGGUUGGAGUGGUGAUGUAAGCUCAGCCCAUCCGCUGCCAAGGCAGGGCAGAGGUAGAAGAGAAAAGCCCCCGACACCAUAUGUUCCAGUCUCUCAGCCACAGAUCAAGGCAGCAAACUAGUUCUUAAAAUUGCAUCUACUGCUCUCUCACUUCGACACAGCCUAGAGAGACAGAUUUUGAGUUAAGAAUUCUUUUUUUUAAAAAAAAAAUCAAGGUGGGUGGUGGUGGUCCACACCUUUAAAUCCUAACCCUCAGGAAGCAGAGGCAAGUGGAUCUCUAAGUUCGAGGCCAGCCUAGUUUAUAGAGUGAGUUCUAAGACAGCCAGGGCUACACAGAGAAACCCUGUCUCAAAAAACCCAAAACAAACAAAACAAGCAAACAAACAAAACAAACCAACAACCCUCCACCCUCCCAAAAAACACAAAAUAAUAUGCACGUAUAUGUGUAUGGUGUUUCUUUUUCUGUUUUCCUUCCUUCCUUCCUUCCUUCUUUCUUUUCUUCCUUCCUGUCUUUUUUUUUU